GAAUACGUAGCUCAGUUGGAAGAGCAUUGGGCUAGUAUUCCAAAGGUCGUAGGUUCGAAUCCCACCGUGGCCG